rnacentral:tRNA from 1 species
CAAGUUAGAGCUUAGAGAGCAUUUUAUUUACAUUAAAAAGAUAAUUUUUUGAAGAAAAAUUAAUUUGA